rnacentral:rRNA from 1 species
UACGGGGGGGGGCAAGCGUUGUUCGGAAUUACUGGGCGUAAAGGGCUCGUAGGUGGCCAACUAAGUCAUACGUGAAAUCCCUCGGCUUAACCGGGGAACUGCGUCUGAUACUGGAUGGCUUGAGGUUGGGAGAGGGAUGCGGAAUUCCAGGUGUAGCGGUGAAAUGCGUAGAUAUCUGGAGGAACACCGGUGGCGAAGGCGGCAUCCUGGACCAAUUCUGACACUGAGGCGCGACAGCGUGGGGAGCAAACAGG